AUGAGGCGCCGGAGACCGGCGGAGUCACUCGGCUCUCCUCGCUCCAGAAGCGCGCCUUCUGCCAAUCCGAGGGCCGUGUGGGGGUGACGGACGCAAGCGUGUGACCAAUGAGGUGGAGAAGGUGCCGCGGCGAGCCAGAGGGGAAGGAGUGGGCGGGCCAACGCCCUCCCCUCCCUCCGGCGCCCGGGUCCUCCCCCCGGCCCGGUUCAGCCUUACUCCAUGAUUUCAGCCUGUAUCCUGAGUCUACCUAGGAAAAUGAACCAGACUGCAAAUUUCUAGUGCCCAGAUUGUAUAUGCAUUGCCUCUCUGUGUGUUGAAAGUUCUUUGGAGUUCGGCAGUGCAAGGAGGCCAGCAUCCUCAUCCCAGGACACAGUGAUGCAGAAGUGGAGUGAGACUAAUGAUGUACUAAGAACUAUUAUGGUUACCAAAAAAAGGUACUAUAUGAGAUUUUUGUUAUCCCAAAGAGCUUAUAUACGACCUACAUGGACCAGGAAGCAAAAGCACAUCCUUUAUUGAAGAUAGAGGUUUCAACACCGGCUUCAUUAGCAUUCCCACAGAGAGAGCCCAGACAAACAUUAGCUCACAAUCCAAAUGAAGAAAAAAGCCACCAUGAACAAGAGGAGGCAGAGACAGAAAAAGAGAAAAACAGCAGAAUUGAACUGUCCUUUUUCUAAAUCUGAAAAAGGACAGUUCAAGAAUAGGCCCAUUUCGUUUAUGAACAUAAAUGCAAAAGAUUCUAAAAAUAGCUAACCAAAUCCAACAUUCUUACUCCAGUGAACUGGAAGAAACCUUGAAACUCUUUAGAAUAUACCUGUCUAGGACUUCCCUGGUGGUGCAGUGGUUAAGAAUCUGCUUGCCAAUGCAGAGGACACGGGUUCGAUCCCUGCUCCAGGAAGAUCCCACAUGCCGCAUAGCAACUAAGCCUGUAUGCCACAACUACUGAAGCCCAUGCGCCUAGAGCCUGUGCUCUGCAACAAGAGAAGCAACCUCAAUGAGAAGCCCACGCACUGUAAAAAAGAUUAGCCCCCACUCACAACAACUAGAGAAAGCUCACGCGCAGCAAGAAAGACCCAAAGCAGCAAAAAAAAAUAAAUAAAUAGAAUAUAGCCGUCUAGCUACCUAUCUAACCAUUUAUCAUGAAAACAUAAUAAAUCAAGUAGAGUUUAUUCCAGAAAUUCGUGUGAUUUAACAUCAGAAAACCUAUCCAAAUAAUUCACCUCAAAAAGACUAAGAGAGAAAAAGCAUUCGAGAAUGUGCAUCACUUAUUAAUAAUAAAAACUUUCAGGAAAAUUAGGAAUAGGAAUUAAUUUACUUAACUUUAUGAAGGACCAAAAAUGUACAGCAAAAUAUUAUUAAUGGAUUAACUUUAAAUGCAUUCCAUUUAAGUGUGGGAUCAAGACAAAGUUGCCACUGCUGUUUAACAUGAUAUUUAAAGUUCUGGCUGACAAAAUAAGAUUUGUAAUAAAACGAAGAAGAAAUUAAAUAGAAGAAUCAAAGGAAAGGGAUAAAAUUGGAACCAUGUAACAUACCUAAUAGAAACAAUAAGCUCUCAGAAAUAAUAAGAGAAUGCAGCAAGGUGACAGAGAUGCUUUUCUCCCCUUCUUCCACAGAGAUGCUUUUCUCCCCUCUUUCCCCUUUUCACUUUUUCAUGGGGCACAUGGCCAACCAGAAUAAAGACAUUUGCUAGCCUCCCUUGUAGCUAAGUGUUGCCAUGUUCCAGGCAAGUUCCAGGUUAAAAGCAGGACUGGUGCACACAUUCCUAAAGGGAGAAAGUGUGCCUCAUCCUCUCUCCUGUCAUCUGAAAUGAAGAUACAAUAGCUGGAGCUUCAGCAGUCAUCUUAGACCAUGAGCUGAAUUUGGAUGUGGAAGCCACACACAGCAGAACAAGAAAGAAGACACCUGCUCUACUAACACCAGCCCUAAAGUAUCUACUUCCAAACUUCUGGAACUUCUUGAAUAAACCUCUAUCUCAU